ACACCGUUCAGGCUCCAGAGAAUUACUUCUCAUUCCUUGCCCUGUGUUCUUAAAAUAAAAAAGGUGACUCCAUCCAAAGGCCAUGAAGUCUUACAGCUGUACUACUGCUACUUACAUCAGAAACAAGCACUACUUUGGAGUGUGGGAAAAGAUUUGAGCAGCAGAAGCUCUUAGGGCCAUAUAGCAAAUUGAUUUUAGUUUUUAAGGGAAAUUUCAGAUUUUGGUCUAGGCUAUCCAUUCAACUCACCGGAAAAGCGAUGGAGACAAGGACUCAAGGUUGUACUACUGGCCAGGAAUGAAGUCAGUGCACUUGGCUGCUGCAUUCCCUGAGGUGUGUCUCUUGGAAUUUGGUGUCUUCUUCAAGCUCCUGGAUCUGCCUCUCUCCAGCAUCUGCCUGCUGUCCCAUAUAUACUAAAAUAUAGACAAAAUUAAACAUGCUUAAAGAAAUCUUCUGCAUUUCUAUGGCGGUGAUGCUGAUGGAAGUCUCGAGGAGGCCCAAGAACUGCUGGGUUGUUCUUCCUAAGUAUUCAGAGGAGUGAAGUUGACUACUGUAUUCAGAGGCAGUUAAUUUCCUAAGUGCAAGGCUUUAUUCAUUUUGAAGAGAACUUGGAUUGGCUGGUGUUCCAGAAACUGCAACAAAGAAACUCAGACAAAUAAGACACGAGAAAAAUUCAAGCAACUCCUCUCCAUGCUUCAUAAAUGAUCAGCAGAACUCCACCUAACCACAGACCAGGUGUUUCCGGCUCGCAUUUUUCUGCCUGACAGACCCCCGCAGAGGAUCUGUCUCUGGCCACGACGAGGACCUCGUGACUGAAAGCAGAAGAAUUUCGCCUAUUCCUAAGUGUGGGCAAGACACUGGAAAAAAUGUGUAUCAAUCAUCAAGAGUUGAAAACGCAGCUUCAAAAGUAUGUAACUGACCUGUAUAUGAGAAAGGAAGUCCCUGCUGUCCCCAUCCUCCCUUACCCCAGCCCCUGUGGUCAAGAGACUGAGUGACUGAGGAAUUAUGUUGAUGGUAUUGAAUACAACAACUCCAGCUGAGCAAGAAAGUCUGUGGCAGUUGAAGAAUUCUUGGUCUGGGAGUAAGGAGCCUUCCCAGGGAAAGGCAGUAGACUUAAGGCUUUAUAGAGAAGAUGGCUCCAGACCUUUGACCUUACUUGGAGCUUCAGAAAGUCAUUGCAGCACAUGGUAUUUUCUAAAGAUGGCCACAACAGUAUCUUUUGUCCCCAUGCUCUUCUACAAUGUGAUCUAUUUGCCUAUCAAGAGGUUGAGUCUCAUUCUUCUUCCAGACUUGUGACUGCUUCAACCAAUAGAGUAUGCAAAAGAGGGGCUGUGUGAUUCCCAAGACCGUUCACAAAAGGCAAGGCAGCAUUGUUUGCUGGAAUACUCUUGCUUUAUUCAGGCUACUUUCUAUAAAAAAGAAAUCUAUACUGUUAAGGAUGAACUAAGCCGUUUAUGUAUCUUUUUUCUCCCCCUCUCAUGUAUCUACGUCUGUCUAUC